rnacentral:rRNA from 1 species
AUCAUGCAAGUUGAACGGCAGCACAGGUAGCAAUACUGGGUGGCGAGUGGCGCACGGGUGCGUAACACGUAUGCAACCUACCCUAUACAGGCGAAUAACCUUUAGAAAUGAGGGCUAAUACGCCGUAGUAUUACAGAUGGGCAUCUAUUUGUAAUUAAAGAUUUAUCGGUAUAGGAUGGGCAUGCGUCCCAUUAGUUAGUUGGUAAGGUAACGGCUUACCAAGACGAUGAUGGGUAGGGGAUCUGAGAGGACUUACCCCCACACUGGUACUGAGACACGGACCAGACUCCUACGGGAGGCAGCAGUAAGGAAUAUUGGGCAAUGGCCGCGAGGCUGACCCAGCCAUGCCGCGUGCAGGAAGACGGCCUUAUGGGUUGUAAACUGCUUUCAUACGGGAAUAAUAGAGUGUACGCGUACAUUUAUGCAAGUAUCGUAUGAAUAAGCAUCGGCUAACUCCGUGCCAGCGCCCGCGGUAAUAAUCACUAUUGAAUUCCCGGCCGCCUGCAGGUCCACCAU